rnacentral:rRNA from 1 species
CCUACGGGAGGCAGCAGUGGGGAAUAUUGCACAAUGGGCGAAAGCCUGAUGCAGCAACGCCGCGUGAAGGAAGAAGGGUUUCGGCUCGUAAACUUCUAUCAACAGGGACGAAAGAAAUGACGGUACCUGAAUAAGAAGCCCCGGCUAACUACGUGCCAGCAGCCGCGGUAAUACGUAGGGGGCAAGCGUUAUCCGGAAUUACUGGGUGUAAAGAGUUGCGUAGGUGGCAUAAUAAGUAGCUAGUGAAAUCUGGUGGCUCAACCAUUCAGACUAUUAGCUAAACUGUUAAGCUCGAGACCGUUAGGGGUAACUGGAAUUUCUAGUGUAGGAGUGAAAUCCGUAGAUAUUAGAAGGAACACCAAUAGCGUAGGCAGGUUACUGGGACGGUUCUGACACUAAGGCACGAAAGCGUAGGGAGCAAACGGGAUUAGAUACCCCAGUAGUC